rnacentral:rRNA from 1 species
UACGGAGGAUGCAAGCGUUAUCCGGAAUGAUUGGGCGUAAAGCGUCCGCAGGUGGCAAUGUAAGUCUGCUGUCAAAGCGUCUGGCUCAACCAGAUAAAGGCAGUGGAAACUACAUAGCUAGAGUGAGGUAGGGGUAGAGGGAAUUCCUGGUGUAGCGGUAAAAUGCGUAGAGAUCAGGAAGAACACCGGUGGCGAAAGCGCUCUGCUGGACCUAAACUGACACUGAGGGACGAAAGCUAGGGGAGCGAAUGGG